rnacentral:rRNA from 1 species
UACAGAGGGGGCGAGCGUUGUUCGGAAUUACUGGGCGUAAAGGGCGCGUAGGCGGCCUCUUCAGUCGAACGUGAAAUCCCCGGGCUCAACCCGGGAACUGCGUCCGAUACUGGGAGGCUUGAAUCCGGGAGAGGGAUGUGGAAUUCCAGGUGUAGCGGUGAAAUGCGUAGAUAUCUGGAGGAACACCGGUGGCGAAGGCGGCAUCCUGGACCGGUAUUGACGCUGAGGCGCGAAAGCCAGGGGAGCAAACGGG